rnacentral:snRNA from 1 species
CUUGCUCGUCGGCCUUUUGGCUAAGAUCAAGUGUAGUAUUUGUUCUUAUCAGUUUAAUAUCUGAUAUGUCCCCUACCCGGGGACCGUAUAUUAAAUUGAUUUUUGGAACAGGGGCUUCCACUCCACGCAUCGACCCGGUAUUGCAUUACCUCCAGGUACGGUGCACAUUCA